rnacentral:tRNA from 1 species
UGGGAUGUAGUUCAGUGGUAGAGCACUUGCCUAGCACGUGCAAGACUCUGGGUUCAAUCCCUAGUAAUGCAA